ACGAACGCUGGCGGCGUGCUUAACACAUGCAAGUCGAACGGAAAGGCCCUGCUUUUGUGGGGUUCUCGAGUGGCGAACGGGUGAGUAACACGUGAGUAACCUGCCCUUGACUUUGGGUUAACUUCAGGAAACUGGGGCUAAUACCGGAUAGGAGCUCCUGCUGCAUGGUGGGGGUUGGAAAGUUUCGGCGUUUGGGGAUGGACUCGCGGCUUAUCAGCUUGUUGGUGGGGUAGUUGCUUACCAAGGCUUUGACGGGUAGCCGGCAUGCGAGGGUGAACGGGAACAUUGGGACUGAGAUACGGACCAGAAUCCAACGGGAGGCAGCAGUGGGGAAUAUUGCACAAUGGGAGGAAGCCUGAUGCAGCAACGCCGGGUGCGGGAUGACGGCCUUCGGGUUGUAAAACGAUUUCGACUGUGACGAAGAGUGAGUGACGGUAAUGGGUAAAGAAGCAACGGCUAACUACGUG
rnacentral:rRNA from 1 species